rnacentral:rRNA from 1 species
CCUACGGGUGGCAGCAGUGAGGAAUCUUGGUCAAUGGACGCAAGUCUGAACCAGCCAUGCCGCGUGCAGGAAGACGGCUCUAUGAGUUGGAAACUGCUUUUGUACGAGGGUAAAUCCCGAUACUUGCAUCGGGUUGAAAGUAUCGUACGAAUAAGGCUAGGCUAACUCCGGGCCAGAAGCCGCGGUAAUACGGAGGAUUCAAGUGUUAUCCGGAUUUAUUGGGUUGAAAGGGUGCGUAGGCGGUUCGGUAAGUUAGAGGUGAAAUCCCGGGGCUCAACUCCGUCACUGCCUCUGAUACUGUCGGGCUAGAGUGUAGUUGCGGUAGGCGGAAUGUAUGGUGUAGCGGUGAAAUGCGUAGAGAUCAUACAGAACACCGAUUGCGAAGGCAGCUUACCAAACUACGACUGACGUUGAGGCACGAAAGCGUGGGGAGCAAACAGGAUUAGAUACCCGAGUAGUC